AAUUCGAUUGAGUUUGAUCAUGGCUCAGGAUGAACGCUGGCGGCGUGCUUAACACAUGCAAGUCACGGGGGCCAGCAAUGGCAACCGGCGAACGGGUGCGUAACACGUGAGCAACCUACCGAAAUGAGGGGGGUAGCCGGCCCAACGGCCGGGUAAUACCGCAUACGCUCGAGACCAGGCAUUUGGACUCGAGGAAACCUCCGGGGCAUUUCGAGGGGCUCGCGGCCUAUCAGCUAGUUGGUGAGGUAACGGCUCACCAAGGCGACGACGGGUAGCUGGUCUGAGAGGAUGGCCAGCCACAUUGGGACUGAGAUACGGCCCAGACUCCUACGGGAGGCAGCAGUGGGGAAUCUUGCGCAAUGGCCUAACGGCUGACGCAGCGACGCCGCGUGAGGGAUGACGCUCUUCGGAGUGUAAACCUCUUUUGCCUGAGACGAAUUGUCAGCUUUAGCUGAUUUGACUGUAUCGGGUGAAUAAGCACCGGCUAACUCCGUGCCAGCAGCCGCGGUAAUACGGGGGGUGCGAGCGUUGUCCGGAAUCACUGGGCGUAAAGGGCGCGUAGGUGGCCUGAUAAGGGUGUGGUGAAAGUCCGGGGCUCAACCCCGGAUCUGCCGUGCCGACUGUUAGGCUAGAGUACUGUAGGGGCAGGCGGAAUUCCGGGUGUAGCGGUGGAAUGCGUAGAGAUCCGGAGGAAGACCGGUGGCGAAGGCGGCCUGCUGGGCAGUUACUGACACUGAGGCGCGACAGCGUGGGGAGCAAACUGGAUUAGAUACCC
rnacentral:rRNA from 1 species